UCCGCUCCGCAAGAUCGAGUCAAAACUAUUUCGCUUGUCGCAGACGACUGGCGCACUGCUUAAACAUGAAGCUCCUGUGUCUUGCUGUGUUCGCCGGCGUAGCAUGCCUUGCCCUCGCCGGUGGAGC
rnacentral:lncRNA from 1 species